AUUUUCCAGGCAAGAGUACUAGAGUGGGGUGCCAUUGCCUUCUCCGGCAACCUGCACUGCACACGCCCAACUCAGUGAGCAUGCGCAGUGUGUGCGUGCGCAUCCGUUGCUGCGCAUGCGCCUUGGUGCGCAUACGCCUUCCUGAGCGAUCUGUGAGGAGCGUUGGGCGUGAGACGGGUCUGUUUAUUCAGUCCCGGUUCUUUCUCACUACUUGAGACUCACCAGGGAGAAAUAUGAGUGGGCAAGUGGCAUCAACAUUGGGACCUACAAAGCCAGAUUGCUCCCAGGUGGAUGAACCUGUGGUUGACCAGCAGCCCAGUGUUGAGCAACCUCACCAAGAGGAACCACCAGCUGAGAUUCAGGAUAUCACACCUAGAAAUGAGGAAGGAGAGGAUCCAGUGAAUCGUGAUGAAGAAGAGGAGAAGGAUCCCUUUGAAGAUUCUGGCCUGGAAGCUGAUCUCCAGCUAUUUGCUGAGGCAAAGACUGGGGAUGAAGGUGGAGAUGGUCCUGAUGUCAGGGAGGAGUUUGCAUCAAAUACAGAGCCUGUUGAAAUGCCAGAAGCAGGUAUGUCAUCCAUUCAGAAAGUAAUUUAUGUGGUUUCUGUUUUUCAGAAUAUUAUAUCUUUACUAAUAUAG
rnacentral:lncRNA from 1 species